rnacentral:lncRNA from 1 species
UGGGGGAAAUUGUUUAUGAAUCCUUUCACGCAACCCGACUGGCUGGGUGUAAAUAGUUUCUUGUUCUGCAAUUUUACAAUAGCUAUAGAAUACCAGAAUUAAUAACCAGAAUUUGAUUGUUUUGGCAUAAUGUAAAUGUUCACAUAUCAAUUCAUCCCAAUACAGCCGCCAUAAAGGUCCCAGUAAAAGUGCCAGCCAGAUCAGGGUUCCGGAAAUAACAGAACAUUAGAUCGAUUGAAUGCGUGCAUCGGCACUCUGUUUCUAGAGCUUUCUGGACGGAAGAUUGGUACUCCAGCCACACGAUUUUCGCUUAAUACUCGAUUUCAGCACCCCCACUGACAUGAGUAGAGAUUGGCUUACUGUAGGCGCGAUAACUACCUCUCGAAUUCUAUUACAACACUAUAUAAGAUAGGCCUAAAUGAAACGCGCGUGUAUGUAGCCUUGUAAAUCUAUUUAUACAUGCAAUCUAGUCUAAUCUAGAUAUAAAUAAAUAUAUUUUAAAAUUCGCAGCCAUAGUAUUUGCAUUUUUGGGUGAUUUUCUUAUUUUGAUAGGUUAUAAUAAUGAAUUCACAAAAAAGGCACCGGUAUUAUGUAGUGAAGCUCGCACGUCUCUGAACAGUGUAGCAUUUUGGCCACAAGAGCGCGCGCCUGAGCCACAUUAGAGGCGGUGAAGAUGCCAACAAUCUCAUCUCGAGUCCGGAAUAUUUUGGGCAAAAGAAAGCAUUUCAUUCCAAACACAAUCAAGACACACCGGAGGGAGUCUGCGGCUUAGUUUCACAAACAUCUUUCUGUCUUGCACGAUGAUCCCCGGUAAUCCAGAUGUUGGACAUACAGUGGCUUUUUAUUUAAUUUUUCUCUCGUUCCUUCCUGUCAACCUUGCCACCAGCAACUCAAGACAAGGCUCCCAGAAGCAGAAUACUGAGGAAGUAUUCUAUGACAGCCAACUAGAUCAAGACAGCAUUGAGCACCGAUCACUCCCACCAAACACAAAAUACUAGAAACACGGUAAAGGCAAUAUCCCACACUAGUCAAUAAAGGCCAACAUUCUCCUAGUGUUCUCUUCUGAGUGUUCUCUUUCUCUCUCCCUCUCUAUGUAAUGCUGUUAUAUCUCACUGUAUCUCACUUUCUAUGGUUCUCU